GGUGAGCGUGGGUUGCCGGGCCUCCAAGGAUUGAAGGGUGAACAGGGCUCUCCGGGGACACCUGGUUAUCCAGGAAGCAUGGGAGCGCCUGGACUGCCUGGACUAAAGGGUGAACGGGGAAGCCCGGGAAGCAGUGGUCAAAAAGGAGAA